CACGUAGGGUGCGAGCGUUGUCCGGAAUUAUUGGGCGUAAAGAGCUCGUAGGCGGUGUGUCGCGUCGGCCGUGAAAACCUGCAGCUUAACUGUGGGCUUGCGGUCGAUACGGGCAUCACUGGAGUUCGGCAGGGGAGACUGGAAUUCCUGGUGUAGCGGUGAAAUGCGCAGAUAUCAGGAGGAACACCAGCGGCGAAGGCGGCGCUCUGGGCUGGCACUGACACUGAGGAGCGAAAGCGUGGGGAGCGAACAGG
rnacentral:rRNA from 1 species